rnacentral:misc_RNA from 1 species
CUGGAACAAUGAAGUUUGGAAAUGUCUAGGUACGGACAUUCACAGGAAAUAUGGCUUCUCUCUCUGCGACCCAUCUCCUUCUCGCCUGUGUAUAAUCCCUCCAGUCAACACGGACGGCUAAACGACCUAACCCCCAAAAGCUUCUCCCUUUCUCUCUUACUCCCUCUCCUUCCAAUAAAAACCCUAAGUCAUCCCUUUCCCUUACCAAUUCAAUUUCAGUUUCAAUUUUUUUUAUCCGAAUUCCUCUUUCCCUGUUUAUUGUCAAUUUCUUGUACAAGAAAUGUCAUCGGAGAUUGAGGUGGUGGAGGAGGUUCAAUUUAAUAAUGGGGAAUCGGCAUCUGUUAAUGGAGCCAAUGGGAUCGCUAAUGGUGGUGUAGUUGGCGAGGAGAGUUUGAGGAACGAUGUUUACACCGCCGCUGCUUAUGGGGAUUUGGAGAAGCUUCAGAGAUUGGUGGAGACUGAGGGUUGCUCUGUUUCCGAGCCUGAUAGUCUGGGAUACUACGCGUUACAGUGGGCCGCUUUGAAUAAUCGGACUGCCGCUGCUCAGUACAUCAUUGAGCAUGGAGGACAAGUAAAUGCAGUAGAUCAUACUGGGCAGACAGCAUUGCACUGGAGUGCUGUUCGGGGUGCAAUCCAAGUUGCAGAGUUAUUACUCCAAGAGGGUGCUCAAGUAACUGCUUCUGAUAUGUAUGGCUAUCAGGCAACACAUGUUGCAGCUCAAUAUGGUCAGACAGCUUUCCUCUAUCACAUUGUCUCAAAAUGGAAUGCUGACCCCGAUGUUCCUGAUAAUGAUGGAAGAAGCCCUUUACAUUGGGCUGCUUAUAAAGGUUUUGCUGAUUGUAUACGCCUUCUAUUGUUUCUGGAUGCUUAUAGAGGACGCCAGGAUAAAGAGGGUUGCACUCCUCUCCAUUGGGCUGCAAUUAGGGGUAACUUGGAAGCUUGCACAGUAUUAGUACAGGCAGGCAAGAAAGAAGACUUAAUGGUGGCUGAUAACACUGGCCUUACACCGGCCCAGCUUGCAUCUGACAAGAAUCACAGACAAGUUGCUUUUUUCCUUGUAGGUGCUCCAUAACCAAAAUAUUUUCAAUUGGGAAAUGCUAGGAGGUUGCUUGACAAACGAUUUGAUGGGAACAGCCGCCUGGGAUGUGUCUCAAAGUUGGGGCUUGCUCCUGUACUUUGGUUUAUAAUACUACUACUUUUGGCGACCUAUAUUCAUUCUGUAAUCACAGAUUCUAAUCUACCAAGGCUAACAACUAGCUUUGGCCUUCUUGCCUGGUUGGGUGUUUUCCUAGCAACUGCUGGACUUUUUAUGUUUUAUAGGUGUAGCAGGAAGGAUCCAGGUUUCAUUAGAAUGAAUGUGCACGAUCCACAUAGCAUGAAAGAUGAUGAACCUCUUUUGAAGAUUGAGAUAAAUAAUCCUGCAUUGCUAGCUGGAAAUUGGUCUCAACUCUGUGCAACAUGCAAGAUUGUUAGACCUCUUCGUGCAAAGCAUUGUUCCACGUGUGAUCGUUGUGUUGAACAGUUUGAUCAUCAUUGCCCUUGGGUAUCUAAUUGCAUUGGCAAGAAAAACAAAUGGGAUUUCUUUGUGUUUCUUGUUCUAGAAGUUUCAGCUAUGUUGAUUACUGGUGCUGUGGCUCUGACAAGAGUUCUGACUGAUCCUGCAGCUCCCUCUACAUUUGCAGCAUGGAUAAACCAUGCUGGGACUCAUCAUAUUGGUGCUGUUUCAUUUCUGAUAGUGGAUUUUUUCCUGUUCUUUGGUGUGGCAGUAUUAACUGUUGUGCAAGCUUCUCAGAUAUCUCGCAAUAUAACAACAAAUGAAAUGGCAAAUGCUAUGCGUUAUAGCUAUCUAAGAGGGCCAGGUGGUCGCUUUAAAAACCCUUAUGAUCAUGGCAUCAGAAAGAAUUGUUCAGAUUUCUUAGUACUGGGCUACAAUGAAGAUGUAGAAUAUAUUGAAGACUCUGCACAUUCUGAGGGGAUUGAUAUGAUGCACAUGGCAAGGAAUUCGAACUCACAAAAUGGGGAUGCUCACUCUCAUCACAUCAAUGGCAAUGGGCAUGUUGCAAUUAAUGUAAAUUCAGACACUAAAGUCCAUCAGUGUCAUCCCAAUUCUUCCCAUUGCUGCCAUAAUAACCAAAACCAUAAUCAUGCAAAGUCCAAAACAGAUAGCAUUCCUGUGGGCUUGGGUCUUGGUCUUGGACGGAGCACUGCUCGGACUGUUGCAGCUUCAUGAUGUUGUGUCCACAACCAUUGAGUGUAGAAGCGAGCUUCAUGAUGUUAUGUCCACAACCAUGAGUGUAGAAGCGGAAGCCGAUGUGUGCUGUAUUAUAACACAUUUCUAUUAGCUUUUGUAAUUUAAUUGAUUGUUGCUCUUUUUGGCCUCCCAAUGGCGUUUAGUCUUGUACAAAUUUUACAUUUAGAAGGUUAUAUUGGUCAUCAACGUUCGCUGCAGAUUUGGCAUUCCGUUGUGAAAAUGGAAAGCGAGUAAAAUAGUGAACAGCUGCCAUUCUUCCUCUCGGCUGCAUCUUCUUCCUAGUUGUUAGUUUCUGUGGAUGGGCUACACAAAAAGGUAGUUCUCUCCUUUUUAAUAACCAUCCAAUUUGAAUGUGAAAUCAUAUUAGAAACUUGAAAUCCUACCCCCUGGAGUGUCCUCUUCUUGAUUUCUUGAAAUUAUAUGAAAAAGCUAAUUGUUUGGCAAUUUCCAAUCUUCCCUUGGUGUGUGGCGUCUCACUGCUUAGUGCAGACAGAUGCCUCUAUUCAGCCGCUUUUCUGGCUGGUUGCUCUGCUUCACAAUAUGAUAGCUAAAUGCACAUCUUCUCUUGAAUUUUUUUUUACGUGAACGUGUUGCUCUGCUGCACCAUAUGAUCACCAUAUGAUAACCAUGUAACUUUGCUGUCCAUUUUUUGUCCAAUUAACUCGAUAGCUAUUCGCAAUAAUUUAAUGUAUAAUGUGUGGGAUUCCAUUACAAUAGUUUCUUGUUUGGUUUGCAUGUUUAAAAUGAGAAGUUAGUGUAAUAAAAUCAUGUGAAGAGCUAAGUAAGCUUUGAAAAAUGGAAACUUGUCAAAAAUAUCAUAGCAUUUGAGGGUUAAAUUAAGCUCAUUCAUUUUCUUAGAACCAGAAAAGGACAUUGAAGUCCACCAACUUUUAACCAUUUCUUGCAAGUAAUGCUAAUUUCUAAUUUCUCCAUCAUUCCUCUCAUAAAUCAUGUAUAAAUCUAUUCAUUAUUUUUCUCUCUUAAGACAAAUUCCAAAAUUAAAAAAAAAAAGCAAAA